rnacentral:rRNA from 1 species
AUGGCCAUAUGCAAUAUUGGUGAUGGGAAAUCUGCUCUGUUUUGGAAUGAUCAAUGGCACUCUACAUGUCUAUUUCAAGGCAUGCGUCACUUAUUCUCUUUUACAAAGAAUACUCUAUUAUCAGUUCAGGAAGCUAUCAACUUUGAAUAUUUGGAAGACCUGUUUCACCUACCCCUGUCUACAAAAGCUUAUGAGGAAUUCCAGCAACUUGAGAUCAUUUGUGAGGAGGUUAGAUCAUCUGAAUAUAGGGAUUGUAAUUAGGGAUGGCACCCGCAGGGUUUGGGUACGGGUGGAGCCACCCCAUACCGUUACCCGACACAUUUGAGCUUACCCAUCACCCGCACCCAUACCCGCUAG